rnacentral:piRNA from 1 species
UGAGAGGCUAGACAUGGUCAUUUUCAGU